ACUCAAAGGAAUAGACGGGGGCCCGCACAAGCGGAGGAGCAUGUGGUUUAAUUCGAUGAUACGCGAGGAACCUUACCUAGACUUGAACGUAUUUGGAAUGGAGUAGAAAUAUUCCAGUCAGCAAUGACCAUUUACGAGGUGCUGCAUGGUUGUCGUCAGCUCGUGCCGUGAGGUGUUAGGUUAAGUCCUGCAACGAGCGCAACCCUUACCGUUAGUUACCAUCAGGUUAUGCUGGGGACUCUAGCGGAACUGCCGGCGCAAGCCGUGAGGAAGGUGGGGAUGACGUCAAAUCAGCACGGCCCUUACGUCUAGGGCGACACACGUGCUACAAUGGGUGGUACAGAGGGCAGCUACACCGCGAGGUGAUGCUAAUCUCCAAAACCAUUCUCAGUUCGGAUCGGAGUCUGCAACUCGACUCCGUGAAGUUGGAUUCGCUAGUAAUCGCUCAUCAGCCAUGGAGCGGUGAAUACGUUCCCGGGCCUUGUACACACCGCCCGU
rnacentral:rRNA from 1 species